CAGUAGCCGCGGGAAUACGUAGGGUGCAAGCGUUAAUCGGAAUUACUGGGCGUAAAGCGUGCGCAGGCGGUUCGGAAAGAAAGAUGUGAAAUCCCAGAGCUUAACUUUGGAACUGCAUUUUUAACUACCGGGCUAGAGUGUGUCAGAGGGGGGUGGAAUUCCACGUGUAGCAGUGAAAUGCGUAGAUAUGUGGAGGAACACCGAUGGCGAAGGCAGCCCCCUGGGAUAACACUGACGCUCAUGCACGAAAGCGUGGGGAGCAAACAGGAUUAGAUACCCCCGUAGUCCCUGUCUCUUAUAC
rnacentral:rRNA from 1 species